UUAAGCGACUAAGCGUACACGGUGGAUGCCUAGGCAGUCAGAGGCGAUGAAGGGCGUGCUAAUCUGCGAAAAGCGUCGGUAAGCUGAUAUGAAGCGUUAUAACCGACGAUACCCGAAUGGGGAAACCCAGUGCAAUACGUUGCACUAUCGUUAGAUGAAUACAUAGUCUAACGAGGCGAACCGGGGGAACUGAAACAUCUAAGUACCCCGAGGAAAAGAAAUCAACCGAGAUUCCCCCAGUAGCGGCGAGCGAACGGGGAGGAGCCCAGAGUCUGAAUCAGUUUGUGUGUUAGUGGAAGCGUCUGGAAAGUCGCACGGUACAGGGUGAUAGUCCCGUACACCAAAAUGCACAGGCUGUGAACUCGAUGAGUAGGGCGGGACACGUGACAUCCUGUCUGAAUAUGGGGGGACCAUCCUCCAAGGCUAAAUACUCCUGACUGACCGAUAGUGAACCAGUACCGUGAGGGAAAGGCGAAAAGAACCCCGGCGAGGGGAGUGAAAUAGAACCUGAAACCGUGUACGUACAAGCAGUGGGAGCACCUUCGUGGUGUGACUGCGUACCUUUUGUAUAAUGGGUCAGCGACUUAUAUUUUGUAGCAAGGUUAACCGAAUAGGGGAGCCGUAGGGAAACCGAGUCUUAACUGGGCGUCUAGUUGCAAGGUAUAGACCCGAAACCCGGUGAUCUAGCCAUGGGCAGGUUGAAGGUUGGGUAACACUAACUGGAGGACCGAACCGACUAAUGUUGAAAAAUUAGCGGAUGACUUGUGGCUGGGGGUGAAAGGCCAAUCAAACCGGGAGAUAGCUGGUUCUCCCCGAAAGCUAUUUAGGUAGCGCCUCGUGAACUCAUCUUCGGGGGUAGAGCACUGUUUCGGCUAGGGGGCCAUCCCGGCUUACCAAACCGAUGCAAACUCCGAAUACCGAAGAAUGUUAUCACGGGAGACACACGGCGGGUGCUAACGUCCGUCGUGAAGAGGGAAACAACCCAGACCGCCAGCUAAGGUCCCAAAGUCAUGGUUAAGUGGGAAACGAUGUGGGAAGGCACAGACAGCCAGGAUGUUGGCUUAGAAGCAGCCAUCAUUUAAAGAAAGCGUAAUAGCUCACUGGUCGAGUCGGCCUGCGCGGAAGAUGUAACGGGGCUAAACCAUGCACCGAAGCUGCGGCAGCGACACUUAGGUGUUGUUGGGUAGGGGAGCGUUCUGUAAGCCGUUGAAGGUGACCUGUGAGGGUUGCUGGAGGUAUCAGAAGUGCGAAUGCUGACAUAAGUAACGAUAAUGCGGGUGAAAAACCCGCACGCCGGAAGACCAAGGGUUCCUGUCCAACGUUAAUCGGGGCAGGGUGAGUCGACCCCUAAGGCGAGGCUGAAAAGCGUAGUCGAUGGGAAACAGGUUAAUAUUCCUGUACUUGGUGUUACUGCGAAGGGGGGACGGAGAAGGCUAGGCUGGCCGGGCGACGGUUGUCCCGGUUUAAGCGUGUAGGGGGAGUGACCAGGUAAAUCCGGUUGCUUAUCAACCCUGAGGCGUGAUGACGAUGCACCACGGUGCAGAAGCAGUUGAUGCCAUGCUUCCAGGAAAAGCCUCUAAGCAUCAGGUAACAUUAAAUCGUACCCCAAACCGACACAGGUGGUCAGGUAGAGAAUACUCAGGCGCUUGAGAGAACUCGGGUGAAGGAACUAGGCAAAAUGGUGCCGUAACUUCGGGAGAAGGCACGCUGGCGUUAGGUGAAAGGACUAGCUCCUGGAGCUGAAGCCAGUCGCAGAUACCAGCUGGCUGCAACUGUUUAAUAAAAACACAGCACUGUGCAAACACGAAAGUGGACGUAUACGGUGUGACGCCUGCCCGGUGCUGGAAGGUUAAUUGAUGGGGUCAGCCGCAAGGCGAAGCUCUUGAUCGAAGCCCCAGUAAACGGCGGCCGUAACUAUAACGGUCCUAAGGUAGCGAAAUUCCUUGUCGGGUAAGUUCCGACCUGCACGAAUGGCGUAAUGAUGGCCAGGCUGUCUCCACCCGAGACUCAGUGAAAUUGAACUCGCUGUGAAGAUGCAGUGUACCCGCGGCAAGACGGAAAGACCCCGUGAACCUUUACUAUAGCUUGACACUGAACAUUGAGCCUUGAUGUGUAGGAUAGGUGGGAGGCCUUGAAGUGUGGACGCCAGUCUGCAUGGAGCCAACCUUGAAAUACCACCCUUUAAUGUUUGAUGUUCUAACUCGGCCCCAUGAUCUGGGGUGAGGACAGUGUCUGGUGGGUAGUUUUGACUGGGGCGGUCUCCUCCCAAAGAGUAACGGAGGAGCACGAAGGUUAGCUAAUCACGGUCGGACAUCGUGAGGUUAGUGCAAAGGCAUAAGCUAGCUUGACUGCGAGAGUGACGGCUCGAGCAGGUACGAAAGUAGGUCUUAGUGAUCCGGUGGUUCUGAAUGGAAGGGCCAUCGCUCAACGGAUAAAAGGUACUCCGGGGAUAACAGGCUGAUACCGCCCAAGAGUUCAUAUCGACGGCGGUGUUUGGCACCUCGAUGUCGGCUCAUCACAUCCUGGGGCUGAAGUAGGUCCCAAGGGUAUGGCUGUUCGCCAUUUAAAGUGGUACGCGAGCUGGGUUUAGAACGUCGUGAGACAGUUCGGUCCCUAUCUGCCGUGGGCGUUGGAAGAUUGAGAGGGGCUGCUCCUAGUACGAGAGGACCGGAGUGGACGAAUCACUGGUGUUCGGGUUGUCAUGCCAAUGGCAUUGCCCGGUAGCUAAAUUCGGAAGAGAUAACCGCUGAAAGCAUCUAAGCGGGAAACUUGCCUCGAGAUGAGUCUUCCCUGGGGCUUAAAGCCCCCUGAAGGAACGUUAAAGACUAUGACGUUGAUAGGCUGGGUGUGUAAGUGCAGCGAUGUAUUGAGCUAACCAGUACUAAUGAUCCGUGAGGCUUAACCUU
rnacentral:rRNA from 1 species